rnacentral:tRNA from 1 species
CCGACCAUAGUUCAGUUGGUAGAGCGGAGGACUGUAGAUCCUUAGGUCACUAGUUCGAAUCCGGUUGGUCGGA